UCAGGUUGUACGAGUUGUAGUCUAGAGAAUCGUUUUCCGCGUUGGCCUGUGUACAAGUCCCUUGGAACAGGGCGUCAUAGAGGGUGAGAAUCCCGUCCUUGACACAGACUACCAAUGCUUUGUGAUGCGAUCUCGAAGAGUCGAGUUGUUUGGGAAUGCAGCUCAAAAUGGGUGGUAAAUUCCAUCUAAAGCUAAAUAUUGGCGAGAGACCGAUAGCGAACAAGUACCGUGAGGGAAAGAUGAAAAGCACUUUGGAAAGAGAGUUAAACAGUACGUGAAAUUGUUAAAAGGGAAACGAUUGAAGUCAGUCAUGCUCUCCGAGACUCAGCCGAUUCUGUCGGUGUACUUCUCGGUUGGCAGGCCAGCAUCAGUUUUGAUCUGUGGAAAAGGUUGGAGAGAAUGUGGCAUCCUCGGAUGUGUUAUAGCUCUCCUUCGAAUA
rnacentral:rRNA from 1 species